UACAGAGGUCUCGAGCGUUGUUCGGAUUCAUUGGGCGUAAAGGGUGCGUAGGUGGCGUGGUAAGUCUGGUGUGAAAUCCCGGGGCUCAACCCCGGAACUGCACUGGAUACUGCCAUGCUUGAGUACUGGAGAGGAGAUUGGAAUUUACGGUGUAGCAGUGAAAUGCGUAGAUAUCAGGAGGAACACCGGUGGCGAAGGCGGGUCUCUGGGCCGAUACUGACGCUGAGGAGCGAAAGCAUGGGGGAGCGAACAGG
rnacentral:rRNA from 1 species